rnacentral:rRNA from 1 species
UGGGGAAUAUUGCACAAUGGGGGAAACCCUGAUGCAGCGACGCCGCGUGAGCGAAGAAGGUUUUCGAAUCGUAAAGCUCUGUCCUAUGAGAAGAUAAUGACGGUAUCAUAGGAGGAAGCCCCGGCUAAAUACGUGCCAGCAGCCGCGGUAAUACGUAUGGGGCGAGCGUUGUCCGGAAUUAUUGGGCGUAAAGGGUACGUAGGCGGUCUAUUAAGUCAGGUGUGAAAGCGUGAGGCUUAACCUCAUUAAGCACUUGAAACUGAUAGACUUGAGUGAAGGAGAGGAAAGUGGAAUUCCUAGUGUAGCGGUGAAAUGCGUAGAUAUUAGGAAGAACACCGGCGGCGAAGGCGACUUUCUGGACGAAAACUGACGCUGAGGCGCGAAAGCGUGGGGAGCAAACAGG